AUGGCUGUCGUCAGCUCGUGUCGUGAGAUGUUGGGUUAAGUCCCGCAACGAGCGCAACCCACGUCUUUAGUUGCCAGCAUUCAGUUGGGCACUCUAGAGAGACCGCCGGUGAUAAACCGGAGGAAGGUGUGGAUGACGUCAAGUCAUCAUGCCCCUUACAUCCUGGGCUACACACGUACUACAAUGCUACGGACAAAGGGCAGCAAACUCGCAAGAGCUAGCAAAUCCCAUAAACCGUGGCUCAGUUCAGAUCGUAGGCUGCAACUCGCCUACGUGAAGGAGGAAUCGCUAGUAAUCGCAGGUCAGCAUACUGCGGUGAAUACGUUCCCGGGCCUUGUACACACCGCCCGUCACACCAUGGAAGUUGGCCAUGCCCGAAGUCGUUACUCCAACCCGCAAGGGAGGAGGACGCCGAAGGUGGGGCUGAUGACUGGGGUGAAGUCGUAACAAGGUAGCCGUACCGGAAGGUGCGGCUGGAUCACCUCCUAAC
rnacentral:rRNA from 1 species